AUUGAACGCUGGCGGCAGGCUUAACACAUGCAAGUCGAGCGAGCGGCGGACGGGUGAGUAAUGUCUGGGAAACUGCCUGAUGGAGGGGGAUAACUACUGGAAACGGUAGCUAAUACCGCAUACCAUCAGAUGUGCCCAGAUGGGAUUAGCUAGUCGGGGGGGUAAUGGCCCACCUAGGCGACGAUCCCGAGCUGGUCUGAGAGGAUGACCAGUCACACUGGAACAGAGACACGGUCCAGACUCCUACGUGAGGCAGCAGUGUGGAAGAUUGCACAAUGGGCGCAAGCCUGAUGCAGCCAUGCCGCGUGUGUGAAGAAGGCCUUCGGGUUGUAAAGCACUUUCAGCUAGGAGGCGUUACUCGCAGAAGAAGCACCGGCUAACUCCGUGCCAGCAGCCGCGGUAAUAC
rnacentral:rRNA from 1 species